CUGGAUUUGCUCGAAUGGCACUUCAAAGCUGAAGGACUCGUUGUAGUAAGGGUUGAGGGUGUUCUUCUUGAUUGUCGUCUUCUUCUUCUUCAGCCUCUUCCCGUUCUGCAUCAGGUGGAUCUUCACGUAGGGAUCUGAGGAAAGAAGAGAGGGCCAGGUUAGAACCUACUGCAUCAGGUGGAUCUUCACGUAGGGAUCUGAGGAAAGAAGAGAGGGCCAGGUUAGAACCUACUGCAUCAGGUGGAUCUUCACGUAGGGAUCUGAGGAAAGAAGAGAGGGCCAGGUUAGAACCUACUGCCACAAGGCAUAUACACCCUCCCUUUCUAGUGUCUCUACACUCAUAUGUUUUAGUCACACCUUGUCU